UCGGCUUAGAGUUUGAUCAUGGCUCAGAUUGAACGCUAGCGGCAGGCCUAACACAUGCAAGUCGAGCGGUAGGGAAGCUUGCUUCUCACGAGCGGCGGACGGGUGAGUAAUGUAUGGGGAUCUGCCCGAUAGAGGGGGAUAACUACUGGAAACGGUAGCUAAUACCGCAUAAUCUCUAAGGAGCAAAGCAGUUCGUUGCGCUAUCGGAUGAACCCAUAUGGGAUUAGCUAGUUGGUGAGGUAAUGGCUCACCAAGGCGACGAUCCCUAGCUGGUCUGAGAGGAUGAUCAGCCACACUGGGACUGAGACACGGCCCAGACUCCUACGGGAGGCAGCAGUGGGGAAUAUUGCACAAUGGGCGCAAGCCUGAUGCAGCCAUGCCGCGUGUAUGAAGAAGGCCUUAGGGUUGUAAAGUACUUUCAGUUGGGAGGAAGGCGUUGAUUAAUAUCAACGAUUGACGUUACCAACAGAAGAAGCACCGGCUAACUCCGUGCCAGCAGCCGCGGUAACACGGAGGGUGCAAGCGUUAAUCGGAAUUACUGGGCGUAAAGCGCACGCAGGCGGUUGAUUAAGUUAGAUGUGAAAUCCCCGGGCUUAACCUGGGAAUGGCAUCUAAGACUGGUCAGCUAGAGUCUUGUAGAGGGGGGUAGAAUUCCAUGUGUAGCGGUGAAAUGCGUAGAGA
rnacentral:rRNA from 1 species